rnacentral:rRNA from 1 species
GUUACCUGCGGUGCCGUGGCUGUGGGAGUAGGUGGGGGGCAAUGGUUGUCCGGGUUGAUCGGGCGUCAAGGGCGGGUAGGCGGCCUGAAAGGUCAGCGGGGAAAGCUCGCGGGGCAACCUGGAGACGUCGGUUGAAACCAUCUGGCUAGAGGCCGGAAGAGGAGUGUGGAAGUCCCGGUGUAGCGGUGAAAUGCGCAGAGAUCGGGAAGAACACCCGUGGCGAAGGCGGCACUCUGGGACGGUACUGACGCUGAGACGCGAAAGCGUGGGGAGCGAACAGGAUUAGAUACCCGUGUAGUC